GAAAAUAUUACAGCAGUGCUCAGGCAGGACAGAUUAGAGGGCUUGUCUACUGAGUCCUUAUGGGUGGAGCUGAGAAACAGGAAAGGUAUGGCCACAUUAGUGGGAUUGUAUUACAGACCUCCCAAUAGUCAACGAGACUUGGAAGAGCAAAUCUGCAGAGAGAUAGCAGGCAACUGCAGGAAACAUAAAGUUGUGGUGGUGAAGAAGUUGUAUCUUCUGGAGAAACACGCUUUCAAUUGCCAUUGUGUGGAGAAUGAUCAGAGAUCUCGGAGGUCAAAAUCCCGAGGAAGGAUGGGAAAAGAGAAUCUGAGAAUGCAAUAAGUAGCGCAGCAGCAUCAGGUCUCCUCUACGUUUCCUGACAGAGGAAGCUAACAUGAACAGCAUCUCCGCCUUAAUGACAACGCGAUGGGCAAGGGAAAACCUUCUAAGAUAAUAUAAAAUUCAGCUGAAGAAGCUCAACAUUACAUCUAAAAGCUGGGAAGACAUUGUACUCAAGAAAUACACCUGGAAGAAAUCAGUUCAAGAGAGAGCUGUGCUACAUGAGAACAAUUUUCACUGUACCACAGAGAAGAAACGGCAGCUGCAAAAGGAGAGACUGAACAACCAACAACACAACCUCUAACCACAGGCUUACUUGCUGUUGCCCACUCUGCACUAGAUCGAUCUCUACAGGCGCCUAGGGAUCCACCAGUAGACAGCAUCUGAGGAGAGCAUCUUAUUGACUCAGUGAUCGCCCUGCCACUAGUCUCAGUUACUUAUGUGUAUGUGGGGUAGCAAGUUUUCUAGUAGUUUUGCAAAUCUUGAAGAGUCCAGGGCCUUGACGGAAACUUGCCAGCCCUUUUCACUCUAAUGUGCUUUCCCCCCUGCCCCGUCCGACUUGCUAUGUCUUCCUGUGUGGAGCUUAUAAUGAUUGAAGCACAUUUCUUAGGUACUUUCUGUACCUAAUAUAGUGGCCACUGAGCGUACCUUCAUGGCCAUUUGCUACUGUAGCCCAGCCACUUCAAGAUUUGAUGUGUUGUGCCUUCAGAGAUGCUCUUCUACACACCAUUGUUGGAAUGUGUGGUUAUUUUCAAGAAUGUUCAAGAUUAUUUAAUGUUAUUUCCAGUAAAGGAGAAUGGAAGAUCUGAAGCAGCAAAAAACAACAUAAUAAAAUAAAGAACACAACAGUAAUAAAGUAACACAAUAAAUGUAAAUAUGUAAGAUAGCUUAUAUGCAUAGUUACUGUAUGUCCAUAAAGUGACACAAGGCACAGGAGUGUCUGUACAUAAGGUGAUUGACAAGAAAUGAUAAAGUAGUGGUAGCUGGGGGUGCGGAUGGGUGGGUUAGUGGUUGGUAGUGCUUGUUUUGGAGUCUGG